AGAGAAAAAGAAUGACGAAAGGAGAAAUAAAGACAAAAUUUUUGAGCUGUGCCUUUAAAGAAUGCAAAAACAUUCCAGAAGUGGGAUGGACUUGAAUUCAUCAGUGCACUAGUUUGAGAAACGAAACUGAAACAUUUCAGCAAAAAACAAGGAAGUGUUUUCUCCCCUCUAAGACAGUUCCUUACUCUAAAGUCCAAUUAUUUAUUGGGUUUAGCCAGAGAGCAAUUCAUUUUUAAGACGGGAAACAUGACAUCUUUUCCUUUAAGACCCCAGGAGAGAAGCCAACACACCCGUUCUGAGCUCUCUGGAACCAAACAAAAUGACUUUUUUACAUUUUCAUUUUUUUUAGGUUUGUGAGGCAGAUGAUAACAGAAGUCCAGGGUAAUUCAUAUGGCUUUGGUACCAGUAGCCAGGAGAAUGCUGAGAGAGAAGGAGUUUACUUAUCCCAACCCAAAUAUCAUGUGGACCUGGUAGAGUUUCUACUGAGGGGGAGGUUGGAGCAGUUCCAGUGGCUUCCUUCCCAAGAAAUCCUUCCAUCUUAAUAUCAGUGGAUAUGGAUUGUUAUGGAUAUGGAUUGUUAUAAUACAACUUAAGAAAUGUGAAAAGUAUGAACUGAUCCAAGAUGUCAAAAUAAAAGAGUCAAAGGGAGUCA
rnacentral:lncRNA from 1 species